AAUUGAAACACUCUGCAUUCACUAUACACAGACACUGCAUCUAAUACACACACUACAUCCACUACAGACACUGCCUCCACUAAACACAAUUCAUCUAGUACACACAAAGACCACAUCCACUACACAAACACACACUACAUCUACUACUCAAACACACUCUGCGUUCACUAUACACACUGCAUCUGCUACACAAACACACACUCUGCAUUCACUGCACAAACAGUAUCUAAUAAAACACUACAUUCUAAUUCACUUCCACUAUUCAG